GGAACAGCGAGGGAGGGGAUCCAAGAGUAAGCAGGGUUCCUGAAGGGUGCAGAGCUACAGGAAACGGAGGAGGAACAAGGAUGACGACAUCAGGAGGAGGGCCACAGGCGUGGAGCUACAGGAAGCGGAGAAGGAACAAGGAUGACGACAUCAGGAGGGCCCCAGGUGCGGAGCUACAGGAAGCGGAGGAGGAACAAGGAUGACGACAUGAGGAGGAGGGCCCCAGGCGCGGAGCUACAGGAAGCCAAGGAGGUUACAAUUGCAGCGGAACAGCGAGGGAGGGGAUCCAAGAGUAAGCAGGGUUCCUGAAGGGUGCAGAGCUACAGGAAACGGAGGAGGAACAAGGAUGACGACAUCAGGAGGAGGGCCACAGGCGUGGAGCUACAGGAAGCGGAGAAGGAACAAGGAUGACGACAUCAGGAGGGCCCCAGGUGCGGAGCUACAGGAAGCGGAGGAGGAACAAGGAUGACGACAUGAGGAGGAGGGCCCCAGGCGCGGAGCUACAGGAAGCCAAGGAGGUUACAAAAACAAAGGAGAAGAAGCAGCACCCAGUGCAGUAGGGAGGUUUAUUCCCCCCAGUGUCAGACAGCUCUGGACUGGAGUGCUGCCCCCGCUCGUUGGUUAUGGACUGGUGAGAGCUGAAUCUGCACCCAUCACCUGCUUUGGCCACAGUGCCACUUCAUACUUUCAGUUUACUUCUUUCAUUUUCAGUAUAUUGACACAUGCCAGAUUUGUUGCACACAUUUUGACGACUGUAUUAUUCUU